rnacentral:snRNA from 1 species
GAUGUGAGGGAGAUCUGGCUGUGACAUCUGUCACCCCAUAACCAUCAGCUUUGGUUCAAAUAUGGAUGCCUAGGCAGUUGUCCCCUACCUCCCUCAAUGCACCCCGUGCCUUCUGCUCAAAGUGGCAUGCUUUGUUGAACAGGAUGACAAGUCCUGGCAGAGGAAGACCAUUCCUCAGAUAAGGUUAUAUAAGUACCUCUGUUCCCUUGCAAAAAGCUUCAAAUGAGUAACUUUUGCUAAUGUGAAUUGUUAUAAAAGCACAAAGCUCAUCAGC